rnacentral:rRNA from 1 species
UGCAGUCGAACGGUAACAGGAAAUAGCUUGCUAUUUUGCUGACGAGUGGCGCACGGGUGCGUAACGCGUAUACAAUCUACCUUUUGCUGAGGGAUAGCCCAGAGAAAUUUGGAUUAAUACCUCAUGGUAUUAUUGAUAGGCAUCUAUUAAUAAUUAAAGGUUACGGCAAAAGAUGAGUAUGCGCCCCAUUAGCUAGUUGGUGAAGUAACGGUUCACCAAGGCAACGAUGGGUAGGGGUCCUGAGAGGGAGAUCCCCCACACUGGUACUGAGACACGGACCAGACUCCUACGGGAGGCAGCAGUGAGGAAUAUUGGACAAUGGGCGAGAGCCUGAUCCAGCCAUGCCGCGUGCAGGAAGACUGCCCUAUGGGUUGUAAACUGCUUUUAUACAGGAAGAAUAAGCCUUACGUGUAAGGUGAUGACGGUACUGUAAGAAUAAGGACCGGCUAACUCCGUGCCAGCAGCCGCGGUAAUACGGAGGGUCCGAGCGUUAUCCGGAAUUAUUGGGUUUAAAGGGUCCGUAGGCGGAUGAUUAAGUCAGGGGUGAAAGUUUGCAGCUCAACUGUAAAAUUGCCUUUGAUACUGGUCAUCUUGAGUUGUAUUGAAGUA